GCCAGACUCCUACGGGAGGCAGCAGUGGGGGAUAUUGCACAAUGGGGGAAACCCUGAUGCAGCGACGCCGCGUGAGUGAAGAAGUAUUUCGGUAUGUAAAGCUCUAUCAGCAGGGAAGAAAAUGACAGUACCUGACCAAGAAGCCCCGGCUAACUACGUGCCAGCAGCCGCGGUAAUACGUAGGGGGCAAGCGUUAUCCGGAUUUACUGGGUGUAAAGGGAGCGUAGACGGUUAUGUAAGUCUGGAGUGAAAGCCCGGGGCCCAACCCCGGGACUGCUUUGGAAACUGUGUAACUGGAGUACAGGAGGGGCAGGCGGAAUUCCUGGUGUAGCGGUGAAAUGCGUAGAUAUCAGGAGGAACACCGGCGGCGAAGGCGGCUUACUGGACUGUAACUGACACUGAGGCACGAAAGCGUGGGGAGCAAACAGGAUUAGAUACCCGCGUAA
rnacentral:rRNA from 1 species